CGGGUGAGUAACACGUAUGCAACCUGCCUGCCACAGCCGGAUAAUCGGGAGAAAUUCCGUCUAAUACGGCAUAAUGCAUCGACGGGACAUCCUGUUGGUGCCGAAGGUUGAUUCCGGUGGCGGAUGGGCAUGCGUCGCAUUAGUUAGUUGGCGGUGUAACGGACCACCAAGACGACGAUGCGUAGGGGUUCUGAGAGGAAGGUCCCCCACACUGGUACUGAGACACGGACCAGACUCCUACGGGAGGCAGCAG
rnacentral:rRNA from 1 species